rnacentral:tRNA from 1 species
GAGGUUAUAGCUCAGUGGUAGAGUGCAUGCUUAGCAUGCACAAGGUCCUGGGUUCAAUCCCCAGUGCCUCC